rnacentral:tRNA from 1 species
GCCGCCUUAGCUCAGUCGGCAGAGCUCCCGCCUUGUAAGCGGACGGUCGCGGGUUCGAAUCCCGCAGGCGGCU